CCGCUCACUGCGGCAUACAGAAAUUUGUUGGUAAUCGACGGCGGUCAUCUCUUGUCCGAUGGCUCAAUCCUGACCACUUCUCCUGUCGUCAAGUCAUCACAGCUUCGCAGGCACGACCAUGAGCAGAGCAUAAACAACCAUGCCAUAAAUAUCUGAUCAUCGAGAAGCACAACCUAAAACAUUGAAUGAAUAGAGCAUUACAGCCCAAGAGGUAGAAUAACACGUACAUUCACAAUGUUGUUCUAAGCAUAGUCGAAAUGCCAUGCAAACUAAGUACAACAUGUUAAACGCUCGAUAAAGAAAUCCCUAGUAAAAAGUAUAUCAUUCAAUAUACGUACACAUGUAUAAUGUUAGAGGCACUUGAUCCUUGGCAAGUAGUACAGGGGAACAUCAGGAGAAGAAGGAAAAGUUGGAAAACAUGACCGGCCUGUAUUAGCAGUUCAUGUGCGCUUGUAAAUGAAUUAGUGAGUUCAAUGUGGCCCAUCUUCCAGAUAUAGAAAAUAUAUGUUGAUAUUUUAAAUAACCAAUAAAUUUAUCUGCAUCAUGCAGCAUAAAAUUGAAGCCCAAUAAGAUUAUGAAUAACGCACAGAUGGAAAGCCUACAAUGGAUUUAACACACAAACAUCUCAAAACUGCUACUGUCCUCCCUAGCAUAUAUUCAAUAAGAGAUGUAGCAAAGAUUACCUUUGACUGCAAAAACAUUUGCUUUUAUUGGAAAUUAUUGAGUUCCUCCACCACAUAUGUACACAUGCAGCUAUCCGAAGUGAAAUUCUGUUUUCUGUAGCACUCAAAGUAUCACAAAAGAUAUUUAAUGAUGUCAAUUUUUUUCUUGAAGAGACCAAGGGGAAUAAGGUUGAGCGGGGAAGAUGUACAUGAUACAUCAUCCAACAGCUGCAGAAAAUGAAUACCACCUGGUAGAAACUAAUCACACAUUUAAACGUCUAAGCAAAGCAGGACAUGCAACAAAAAAUCCAAAGAGAAUAAUACCAUGGCUUUAAUGCUCCAAUCACUAUUCAGGGGUCUUGUAUCAGGCAUGCCGCUGCUACUGUCACCACUCCUGUCAGAUUUUUCUGGGCUUCUCCAAGCUGAUUACCCA
rnacentral:lncRNA from 1 species